UACAGAGGGGGCAAGCGUUGUUCGGAAUUACUGGGCGUAAAGGGCGCGUAGGCGGUCUUGUAAGUCUUGUGUGAAAUCCCUCGGCUCAACUGAGGAACUGCACGGGAUACUGCGAGACUUGAGUUCGGGAGAGGGAAGCGGAAUUCCGGGUGUAGCGGUGAAAUGCGUAGAUAUCCGGAGGAACACCGGUGGCGAAGGCGGCUUCCUGGACCGAUCACUGACGCUGAGGCACGAAAGCGUGGGGAGCAAACAGG
rnacentral:rRNA from 1 species